AAUACCCUAUAGACUAUGGAUGCUGGAAUGCUCUGUAGCCGAAAGGUCCGCCGCUGUAGGAUGGGUCUGCGGCCGAUUAGGUUGUUGUUGGGGUAACGGCCCAACAAGCCUGUAAUCGGUACGGGUUGUGGGAGCAAGAGCCCGGAGAUGGAUUCUGAGACACGAAUCCAGGCCCUACGGGGCGCAGCAGGCGCGAAAACUUUACAAUGCGGGAAACCGUGAUAAGGGAACUCUGAGUGCCCGUAAAAUCGGGCUGUCCAUCAGUUUAAAUAACUGGUGAAGAAAGGGCCGGGCAAGACCGGUGCCAGCCGCCGCGGUAAUACCGGCGGCUCGAGUGGUGGCCACUAUUACUGGGCUUAAAGCGUUCGUAGCUGGUUUGUUAAGUCUCUGGGGAAAUCUUCCGGCUUAACCGGAAGGCGUCUCAGGGAUACUGGCAGACUAGGGACCGGAAGAGGUGAGAGGUACUCCAGGGGUAGGAGUGAAAUCCUGUAAUCCUUGGGGGACCACCUGUGGCGAGGGCGUCUCACCAGAACGGCUCCGACAGUGAGGGACGAAAGCUGGGGGAGCAAACCGGAUUAGAUACCCGGGUAGUCCCAGCCGUAAACGAUGUGCAUUAGGUGUAUCGGUGACCACGAGUCACCGAGGUGCCGAAGAGAAAUCGUGAAAUGCACCGCCUGGGAAGUACGGUCGCAAGGCUGAAACUUAAAGGAAUUGGCGGGGGAGCA
rnacentral:rRNA from 1 species